rnacentral:rRNA from 2 species
CCGAACCGACUAAUGUUGAAAAAUUAGCGGAUGACCUGUGGCUGGGGGUGAAAGGCCAAUCAAACCGGGAGAUAGCUGGUUCUCCCCGAAAGCUAUUUAGGUAGCGCCUCGUGAAUUCAUCUCCGGGGGUAGAGCACUGUUUCGGCUAGGGGGCCAUCCCGGCUUACCAACCCGAUGCAAACUGCGAAUACCGGAGAAUGUUAUCACGGGAGACACACGGCGGGUGCUAACGUCCGUCGUGAAGAGGGAAACAACCCAGACCGCCAGCUAAGGUCCCAAAGUCAUGGUUAAGUGGGAAACGAUGUGGGAAGGCCCAGACAGCCAGGAUGUUGGCUUAGAAGCAGCCAUCAUUUAAAGAAAGCGUAAUAGCUCACUGGUCGAGUCGGCCUGCGCGGAAGAUGUAACGGGGCUAAACCAUGCAC